GACGAACGCUGGCGGCGUGCUUAACACAUGCAAGUCGAACGGAAAGGCCCUGCUUUUGUGGGGUGCUCGAGUGGCGAACGGGUGAGUAACACGUGAGUAACCUGCCCUUGACUUUGGGAUAACUUCAGGAAACUGGGGCUAAUACCGGAUAGGAGCACCUGCUGCAUGGUGGGGGUUGGAAAGUUUCGGCGGUUGGGGAUGGACUCGCGGCUUAUCAGCUUGUUGGUGGGGUAGUGGCUUACCAAGGCUUUGACGGGUAGCCGGCCUGAGAGGGUGACCGGCCACAUUGGGACUGAGAUACGGCCCAGACUCCUACGGGAGGCAGCAGUGGGGAAUAUUGCACAAUGGGCGGAAGCCUGAUGCAGCAACGCCGCGUGCGGGAUGACGGCCUUCGGGUUGUAAACCGCUUUCGCCUGUGACGAAGCGUGAGUGACGGUAAUGGGUAAAGAAGCACCGGCUAACUACG
rnacentral:rRNA from 1 species